UCCCACACCUCGCGCCUCCCUCCCCCACCCCAAAAACCCUAUCCACCCACAGCCGCCGCCACCUCUCCCUCUCUCCUCCGGCUCUAGAUUUAGAUCCGCCACCCACCGGCACCCUCACAUCUCGCCGCCGGUAUCCCCCAAGCCGUCGUCCUCCCACCCUCUCCGUCUCCGUCUCCCCCUCCCUCCCCUCCCCUCCUCAGAGAGGAGAGGGAGAUCGACCAGCCAUGGCGGCGGCCAUGGCGGCAUUCAGAUCUAGGAUGGCCGCAGGCACCUACCCCUCCUCGCAAAGUCUAUAGGCUUUGCCGGUAUGGGACAGGAGGAUUGCUUCCUCACGUUGCUUCUGCUCGGCCGUGCGUGAGGAGAUGCCAUGGACACCGAUGUCAAGCUCCGAUGCUUUGAUCCCCAUCCAGAUCCGCCUCCUUCUCUCUUCCCCUCUUUGAUCUGCCCUUCUUCCAUUUCCUUCCCUGAGGCAUGCAUUUUCUCUUGUUUUUCUUCCUCACACAGGGCACCUGCACCACGAAUUCUAUGCAAGGAGAGGAGUGAGGGUGCUGCAGGGAGAAAAAGGGAAGAACGGGAUGCACCUGAGGAGCGAGGGGUUGACAUCUUGGUUCCUGCUUGACCACGUUGCCUAUGGAUGGUGAGAAGGAGAAGGAAGGUGCUGCAAGUCCCAGGAGAAGGGGUCGGAUGCUGCUGAAACCCUUGGUUGUGAGGGUCUCUGUAUAGACCAAGCACCUACUGGUGAAAUGGACGUGAACCUUCAGAAAUCAAAUGUCCUCCUAUAGUAAUAUAUUUCACAUGUCUUCUA